rnacentral:rRNA from 1 species
GAUCCUGGCUCAGGAUGAACGCUAGCUACAGGCUUAACACAUGCAAGUCGAGGGGAAACGACAUCGAAAGCUUGCUUUUGAUGGGCGUCGACCGGCGCACGGGUGAGUAACGCGUAUCCAACCUGCCCAUCACUUGGGAAUAACCUUGCGAAAGUAAGACUAAUGCCCAAUGAUAUCCCACGAAGGCAUCCGAAUGGGAUUAAAGAUUUAUCGGUGAUGGAUGGGGGAUGCGUCUGAUUGG